GAUGAACGCUGGCGGCGUGCCUAAUACAUGCAAGUCGAGCGAAUGGAUUAAGAGCUUGCUCUUAUGAAGUUAGCGGCGGACGGGUGAGUAACACGUGGGUAACCUGCCCAUAAGACUGGGAUAACUCCGGGAAACCGGGGCUAAUACCGGAUAACAUUUUGAACCGCAUGGUUCGAAAUUGAAUGGCGGCUUCGGCUGUCACUUAUGGAUGGACCCGGGUCGCAUUAGCUAGUUGGUGAGGUAACGGCUCACCAAGGCAACGAUGCGUAGCCGACCUGAGAGGGUGAUCAGCCACACUGGGACUGAGACACGGCCCAGACUCCUACGGGAGGCAGCAGUAGGGAAUCUUCCGCAAUGGACGAAAGUCUGACGGAGCAACGCCGCGUGAGUGAUGAAGGCUUUCGGGUCGUAAAACUCUGUUGUUAGGGAAGAACAAGUGCUAGUUGAAUAAGCUGGCACCUUGACGGUACCUAACCAGAAAGCCACGGCUAACUACGUGCCAGCAGCCGCAGUAA
rnacentral:rRNA from 1 species